UCAAGGAAGCCACGUUUCUAAGAGGGCUCUGGCAUAUGCAUUGGCAACCAGUGACCUGGAAAUGAUAUCUGUAAAUUUCUGGCUCCAAAAAGGUGUUCUUUCCUUUCAAAUCUCCUGAUGGAUGCUGCCAUAGGAAGCAGAAGAGGGCUGAAACCAAUACAGGAGCCUGUGCUAAUCCCUCAGGACUCAAAAAUCCCCCAAUUUUUGGAGGACAAGGAUCAUCUUGCCCACCUUGCAACCAGCCAGCCAUUCCAGGAAAGCUAUUCCUACAGCCUCAUGGUGGGGUGAGGGCUGAGAAAUGGGGCAUGGCAGCUGUUUUGCAUCCACCCUGUUGUUGUUCUCUUACCAACAACCAGCAGCCUCUUUUUUCAUCAAGAACUCCGCUGGCUGUUUAUUCA
rnacentral:sRNA from 1 species